AGGGCGCGCGGUGGAUGCCUAGGCUCUCGGAGGCGAUGAAGGACGCGAUAAGCCGCGAUAGGCCACGGCGAGGUGCAAGUAACCCUUGACCCGUGGAUUUCCGAAUGGGGCAACCCGGCCGUCUAGAUGACGGUCAUGCAGUAAUGCAAGCGAACGCGGGGAACUGAAACAUCUCAUUACCCGCAGGAGAAGAAAACAAAAUGUGAUUCCCCCAGUAGUGGCGAGCGAACGGGGAAGAGCCCAAACCGUUGCCGUUUCGGCGACAGCGGGGUCAUGGGACCGCGAUAUUCGACGGAAGACGAAGUGCAAUUACCUGGAAAGGUAAGCCGUGGAGGGUGACAGCCCCGUGCACGACACCUCUUUCGAAGAUAGCGGGAUCCCGAGUAGGGCGGGACACGAGAAAUCCUGCCUGAAUUCGCCAGGACCGCCUGGCAAGGCUAAAUACUCCCGAGAGACCGAUAGUGAACCAGUACCGCGAGGGAAAGGUGAAAAGUACCCCGAGCAGGGGGGUGAAAUAGACCCUGAACCCGCGCGCCUACAAGCGGUCGGAGCCGGGUAAUCCGGUGACGGCGUGCCUUUUGCAUAAUGAGCCUACGAGUUAGUCGUCACCAGCGAGGUUAAGGGCUUCAGGCCCGUUAGCCGAAGUGAAAGCGAGCCUUAACAGGGCGUCGAGUUGGUGGCGCUAGACGCGAAACCUUGUGAUCUACCCACGAGCAGGUUGAAGUCGCGGUAACACGUGAUGGAGGACCGAACCGGUAAACGUUGAAAAGUUUUCGGAUGACUCGCGGGUAGGGGUGAAAGGCCAAUCAAACUGGGAAAUAGCUCGUACUCUCCGAAAUGCAUUUCGGUGCAGCCUGUGAUGUUCUGUUCCAGAGGUAGAGCUACUGGUUGGACGCGAGGGCUUCACCGCCUAUCAAAUCCGGAUAAACUCCGAAUGCUGGAACACGAAAUCAUGGAGUGAGCCCGCGGGUGCUAAGGUCCGCGGACGAGAGGGAAAGAACCCGGACCACCGGCUAAGGUCCCGGAUGGACAGUUAAGUUGAUCAAACGAGGUGGGAUCGCGGAGACAGCUAGGAUGUUGGCUUGGAAGCAGCCAUUCAUUUAAAGAGUGCGUAACAGCUCACUAGUCGAGCGAUCCCGCGUGGAUAAUACACGGGCAUCAAACUGUCAACCGAAGCCGUGGGGUUAGUGAUGAGCUAACCGGUAGGAGAGCAUUCCUGCCAGCUUUGAAGGUCACCCGCGAGAGUGACUGGAGCGGCAUGAAAAGCAAAUGUAGGCAUAAGUAACGAUAAUGGGGGCGAGAACCCCCCACGCCGCAAGACCAAGGAUUCCCCGGCAAUGUCAAUCAGCCGGGGGUCAGCCGGCCUCUAAGGCUCACCCGAAAGGGGAUGCCGACGAGAAACGGGUUAACAUUCCCGUGCUUCUCGUCACCGUGACGCGGUGACGGGGUGAUGAAUGGACCGCGCGCUGACGGAAUAGCGCGUUGAAGGCCGUACCCUUUGACGGUGGUAGUCAAGCACGCCACCGGAGGCGAGAGCCGAUAGUACCACGAGACCCCGGUCGAGUGGAUAGCGUCCAGGCAAUUUACCCCCUAGAAAACCCGCUAAACUUCAAGUGACGAGGAACCGUACUGUAAACGGACACACGUGGUCGGGUAGAACAUACCAAGGCGCUCGAGUGAUUCAUGGUCAAGGAACUAGGCAAAAUAGUCCUGUAACUUAGGGAUAAAGGACGCUCUAGUGAUAGAGCCGCAGAGUAAUGGCCCAGGCGACUGUUUACCAAAAACACAUGGCUAUGCCAAAUCGAAAGAUGACGUAUAUGGCCUGACACCUGCCCGGUGCCGGAAGGUUAAGAGGAGAGCUCAUCGGAAACGAGAAGGUUUGAAUUGAAGCCCCGGUAAACGGCGGCCGUAACUAUAACGGUCCUAAGGUAGCGAAAUUCCUUGUCGGGUAAGUUCCGACCUGCACGAAUGGUGUAAUGAUCUGGACGCUGUCUCAACCGUGAGCUCAGUGAAAUUGUAGUAUCGGUGAAGAUGCCGAUUACCCGCGAUGGGACGAAAAGACCCCGUGAACCUUUACUAUAGCUUA
rnacentral:rRNA from 1 species